rnacentral:rRNA from 1 species
CCUUCCGUAGGUGAACCUGCGGAAGGAUCAUUACCGAGUGCGGGCCCCUCGGGGCCCAACCUCCCACCCGUGGUUGCCCGAACCUAUGUUGCCUCGGCGGGCCCCGCGCCCGCCGACGGCCCCCCUGAACGCUGGUCUGAAGUUGCAGUCUGAGACCUAUAACGAAAUUAGUUAAAACUUUCAACAACGGAUCUCUUGGUUCCGGCAUCGAUGAAGAACGCAGCGAAAUGCGAUAACUAAUGUGAAUUGCAGAAUUCAGUGAAUCAUCGAGUCUUUGAACGCACAUUGCGCCCUCUGGUAUUCCGGAGGGCAUGCCUGUCCGAGCGUCAUUGCUGCCCUCAAGCCCGGCUUGUGUGUUGGGCCCCGUCCCCCCCGCCGGGGGGACGGGCCCGAAAGGCAGCGGCGGCACCGCGUCCGGUCCUCGAGCGUAUGGGGCUUCGUCACCCGCUCUAGUAGGCCCGGCCGGCGCCAGCCGACCCCCAACCUUUAAUUAUCUCAGGUUGACCUCGGAUCAGGUAGGGAUACCCGCUGAACUUAAGCAUAUCAAUAAGC